rnacentral:rRNA from 1 species
CGAACGCUGGCGGCGUGCCUAAUACAUGCAAGUCGAACGCUUCUUUUUCCACCGGAGCUUGCUCCACCGGAAAAAAGAGGAGUGGCGAACGGGUGAGUAACACGUGGGUAACCUGCCCAUCAGAAGGGGAUAACACUUGGAAACAGGUGCUAAUACCGUAUAACAAUCAAAACCGCAUGGUUUUGAUUUGAAAGGCGCUUUCGGGUGUCGCUGAUGGAUGGACCCGCGGUGCAUUAGCUAGUUGGUGAGGUAACGGCUCACCAAGGCCACGAUGCAUAGCCGACCUGAGAGGGUGAUCGGCCACAUUGGGACUGAGACACGGCCCAAACUCCUACGGGAGGCAGCAGUAGGGAAUCUUCGGCAAUGGACGAAAGUCUGACCGAGCAACGCCGCGUGAGUGAAGAAGGUUUUCGGAUCGUAAAACUCUGUUGUUAGAGAAGAACAAGGAUGAGAGUAACUGUUCAUCCCUUGACGGUAUCUAACCAGAAAGCCACGGCUAACUACGUGCCAGCAGCCGCGGUAAUACGUAGGUGGCAAGCGUUGUCCGGAUUUAUUGGGCGUAAAGCGAGCGCAGGCGGUUUCUUAAGUCUGAUGUGAAAGCCCCCGGCUCAACCGGGGAGGGUCAUUGGAAACUGGGAGACUUGAGUGCAGAAGAGGAGAGUGGAAUUCCAUGUGUAGCGGUGAAAUGCGUAGAUAUAUGGAGGAACACCAGUGGCGAAGGCGGCUCUCUGGUCUGUAACUGACGCUGAGGCUCGAAAGCGUGGGGAGCAAACAGGAUUAGAUACCCUGGUAGUCCACGCCGUAAACGAUGAGUGCUAAGUGUUGGAGGGUUUCCGCCCUUCAGUGCUGCAGCUAACGCAUUAAGCACUCC